rnacentral:lncRNA from 1 species
ACGAACUGAGGAACAGUAUAGAGAGAAUAAUGGUGGAAUCCAUAUAAAUAAUUGAUUUGGAAUUCACCUCUGUUAUGACAUUGUCACUUGUGGUUUUUGGCGUGUGAGACUGUUUUUAAAACGUUCGGUAUUUGGCAUACUUAUGCCUGUUUGUUUCUGCUUUUUUUAAUAAUUAUUUAUUUUUCCUUUUUAAUAAUAAACAACAAUCUUAAUAGUCGCUAAAUGUUUUCAAGAUACCAUACAAUCUU